AUUCCAGCUCCAAUAGCGUAAAUUAAAGUUGUUGCGGCUAAAAAGCUCGUAGUUGGAUUUCUGCUGAGCACGACUAGUCCGCCCCUUGGGUGAGCAUCUGGUUCGGCCUGGGCAUCUUCUUGGGGAACGUAUCUGCAUUUGGUUGUUUGGUGCGGCAUCCAGGACUUUCAUUUUGAGAAAAUUCAAGUGUUUGAAGCAGGCCCGCGCCAUGAAUACAUUAGCAGGGAAUAAUAAAAUAGGAUUUCGUUUGUAUCUUGAUGGUUUCUAAAGCUGAGGCAAUGAUUAACAAGGAUAGUUGGGGGCAUUCAUACUUACGUGUCAGAGGUGAAAGUCUUGGGUUUGUUAAAGACGUACUACUGCGAAAGGAUUUGCCUGAAUGUUUUCAUUA
rnacentral:rRNA from 1 species